rnacentral:rRNA from 1 species
GAUGAACGCUGGCGGCGUGCCUAAUACAUGCAAGUCGAGCGAACGGACGAGAAGCUUGCUUCUCUGAUGUUAGCGGCGGACGGGUGAGUAACACGUGGAUAACCUACCUAUAAGACUGGGAUAACUUCGGGAAACCGUAGCUAAUACCGGAUAAUAUUUUGAACCGCAUGGUUCAAAAGUGAAAGACGGUCUUGCUGUCACUUAUAGAUGGAUCCGCGCUGCAUUAGCUAGUUGGUAAGGUAACGGCUUACCAAGGCAACGAUGCAUAGCCGACCUGAGAGGGUGAUCGGCCACACUGGAACUGAGACACGGUCCAGACUCCUACGGGAGGCAGCAGUAGGGAAUCUUCCGCAAUGGUCGAAAGCCUGACGGAGCAACGCCGCGUGAGUGAUGAAGGUCUUCGGAUCGUAAAACUCUGUUAUUAGGGAAGAACAUAUGUGUAAGUAACUGUGCACAUCUUGACGGUACCUAAUCAGAGAGCCACGGCUAACUACGUG